rnacentral:rRNA from 1 species
GACGAACGCUGGCGGCGUGCUUAACACAUGCCAGUCGAACGGAAAGGCCCUGCUUUUGUGGGGUGCUCGAGUGGCGAACGGGUGAGUAACACGUGAGUAACCUGCCCUUGACUUUGGGAUAACUUCAGGAAACUGGGGCUAAUACCGGAUAGGAGCUCCUGCUGCAUGGUGGGGGUUGGAAAGUUUCGGCGGUUGGGGAUGGACUCGCGGCUUAUCAGCUUGAUGGUGGGGUAGUGGCUUACCAAGGCUUUGACGGGUAGCCGGCCUGAGAGGGUGACCGGCCACAUUGGGACUGAGAUACGGCGCAGACUCCUACGGGAGGCAGCAGUGGGGAAUAUUGCACAAUGGGCGGAAGCCUGAGGCAGCAACGCCGCGUGCGGGAUGACGGCCUUCGGGUUGUAAACCGCUUUCGCAUGUGACGAAGCGUGAGUGACGGUAAUGGGUAAAGAAGCACCGGCUAACUACGUG